rnacentral:rRNA from 1 species
UACGGAGGGUGCAAACGUUGCUCGGAAUCAUUGGGCGUAAAGCGCACGUAGGCGGCCUGUUAAGUCGGGUGUGAAAGCCCUGGGCUCAACCCAGGAAGUGCACUCGAAACUGGCGGGCUUGAAUAUGGAAGAGGGUCGCGGAAUUCCCGGUGUAGAGGUGAAAUUCGUAGAUAUCGGGAGGAACACCAGUGGCGAAGGCGGCCAUCUGGACCAGCACUGACACUGAGGCACGAAAGCGUGGGGAGCAAACAGG